rnacentral:rRNA from 1 species
UACGGAGGAGGCAAGCGUUAUCCGGAAUUAUUGGGCGUAAAGCGUCCGUAGGUGGCUCUUCAAGUCUGCUGUCAAAGAGUGGGGCUUAACCCUGCAAAGGCAGUGGAAACUGAAAGGCUAGAGAGCCGUAGGGGUAGAGGGAAUUCCCGGUGUAGCGGUGAAAUGCGCAGAUAUCAGGAGGAACACCGGUGGCGAAGGCGGGUCUCUGGGCCGAUACUGACGCUGAGGAGCGAAAGCGUGGGGAGCGAACAGG